UUCUUAUCAUCUAACACUUUCUGGUUCUAUUACUGUAUCGAAUCCUUUCAUCAACAUUUUUUUUCUAUGUUCGUCAUCUUCUUGCUUUGGUUCUUCUUCUGUUGAAAUCUCACCUGUUGAAUUUUCUUUUUGCACAUAUUUUGCAUCCAAUUAACUUUGUGCUUGCAUCACACACAUCUCUUGUGAUCCUAAUAACCAAAUCUCUGAUGCUCUCCUCAGGCAAAAUCGAAUCAAUCGGGCCAUUUGAGGAGAUUGUCUGCCACAACUAUAUGUUCGCUUGAAAUCCGUAAGGUAGAUUCCCGACCUGUAACAAAUAUAAACCGUUUACUUGUGAAGAAGUUAUGAUGCUAAGUCAGUGAUUGGUAAGUUUACCUUCAUUAUUGUGAUCGAUGAAAGCUUUCAUAAGAGCUUUGUGUGCCUGUUGUAUAACAUUUUAGAUGUUAGAUCUGUGAAUAAUAGCCACAUAUGUCUAGAUUACAAAUUUACAAUCUAGCAACACUAUGAACAUGUCUAAAAAAAUAGCUGAUGCUCACAUCGAUUUAGCAGAAAUCGUCGUCGGUUUUAUCUUCGAGAAACGGAUGACCGGGUCUCCUGAUGUCUGUAAAUAUAAAUGUAAAAACAACACGCGAGCUAUAAAACCUGGACAAUAAAAUGAAAUUUAGGUUUGAACUCGUUAGGGACAUACAUUGGAUUGAGACGAGAGAAUGAGAAGAUGUCGUAGAACUGUCCAAGCUUCGGCGGUGGAUAGAUCUCCACCGCCGCGUCACCUUUCUCCGACGGAUCUGAACUGAUCGAGACAUCUGUCUUCGGCGAUUUAUCCUCUCCGUUCGACUUCUAAUCCUGACCGGUCUCGCCAUUGCUAGAUCCUGAUUCUUUCGAACGUGUAGGAGCAGCCGUGGAGGCGUUUAAGGGAGAGUUGAGAGUUAGAUGAACCACCGAAGGCGGUGGUGCAAGCCACAAUAUCCACUAGUCGUCUGACGUGUGCAACGGCGGUUUCUUCCGUUCCGUAUAGUAGUAUGCAAAAAGUGUUUUACCCUUAACGGCUGUUAAGUGACAUGGCAUCGGAGCAACGAUUCCAACCGUAUUUUUAGCCUUGGACCUCCUAUAUGUGAGUAUGGAUGGUUGGUAUGGAAGCUUUUGUGCGUGUAGGAACCGAAGUGGACAACCAUUUCCACGCGUGAUCACCACGCCCAAAGGGCGUAAAUGUUUUCUGUAGUGGUCCCUCUACAGUUGUAGACUGUUGUAUUUAAACUGUCAAAAAAAUUGACGGUUUAGGUGUUUUAAAAAAACUUGUUUAUUUAUGGAAGAAAUACGAAACAAAGUAGACUGUUGUAUUUAAACUAUCAAAAAAUGGACCGUUUAGGUGUUUUAAAAAAAUUUGUUUUUUUAAUAUUUAAA